CCUACGGGGUGCAGCAGUGGGGGAUAUUGCACAAUGGGGGGAACCCUGAUGCAGCGACGCCGCGUGGGUGAAGGAGUGCUUCGGCAUGUAAAGCCCUAUCGGCAGGGAAGAAGCAAGACGGUACCUGACUAAGAAGCCCCGGCUAACUACGUGCCAGCAGCCGCGGUAAUACGUAGGGGGCGAGCGUUAUCCGGAUUCACUGGGUGUAAAGGGAGCGUAGACGGCCAUGCAAGCCAGGGGUGAAAGCCCGGGGCCCAACCCCGGGACUGCCCUUGGAACUGUGCGGCUAGAGUGCGGGAGGGGCAGGCGGAAUUCCUGGUGUAGCGGUGAAAUGCGUAGAUAUCAGGAGGAACACCGGCGGCGAAGGCGGCCUGCUGGACUGCGACUGACGUUGAGGCUCGAAAGCGUGGGGAGCGAACAGGAUUAGAUACCCCUGUAGUC
rnacentral:rRNA from 1 species